GUCUGACACCCUUGAAACAUGGGUGUAUAAUCAGAGGCGUCCCUGCAAUGAUUAAACACCAAGGCACUUCUCCUUGCUGCCGCCACGUGAAGAAGGACGUGUUUACUUCCCCUUCCACCAUGACUUUUGGUUGCUAUAUCAAGUUCACUAUUCAUUCUUCUGAAAUAUCUACUGUGAUAGCGGUCUCCUCCAGUGUGUUUUCAUAACAGGUUUAUUUACCUGCUUUAUUACAUGACUGGUAAUAUUUGAUUGGAUGUUCGACAUUGUGGAAUCUAUGUCAUUGACACCUGGGCAUUUUUGUACUUUGGUAAGUACACUUGAGCUUUAAUCUGAAUUAGCAUUAAGUUACAUGAAAAUAGUUUAAUAGUUCGAUCUUUGGAGUUUUUAUCCUAAGCUUCAUUUGAUCAAGUAUACUAAAUGCUGCUUUUCUCACUACAUAGUUUUCUUCUACAAACUGAGUUUUUUUUUUACUUCCCUCGGAUAUAAUUUUUCUUUUUCAUUUUUUAAAAUUAAAAUAUUUGUUCUUCAUUGAAUGUUUUAUACAUUUAAUAAGGCGUUACAAAGGUUAGUAAAGUUUUCGUGUUUCAGUAAUUGGUAUGCCUGGACCAUGGAUGAUUUAUGAUAGUGGAUCCAUCAGAACUGCCUUAUUGUGAAAAAUCUUUAUUGCUUUUAUGGUUGAUUGUUUUUUCCACAUGGGAUAGUUAGCUUUCCGAGACAGGAGUUUUCUAAUUUCCAGAGCUGGGAUAUAAACCUGCUUGCCAACAUUCUAGCUUAGUGGCAGAACAAAGCUGAGUGGGUGUUUCAGUAUUUAAUGCAGUGCUUCUCCCUUCAGUCAUUUUUGGUGUUUCCAACUUCAAAGUCUCAAUUCCUUUAGAGAUUAAAUCUCUGAUCUUUCGUUGGAGAGAUUAGGGGAAGAUAUCUGUGCAGCAAGAAGCAGGAUAUGAUCUAAUUACUUUUUGUACAGGUUUUAAAGCAAGUUUCUUUUUUAGUGUCACUUAAAACGCCAGAUUUCCAAUUCUUUAUCUCCACCUCCCAAUCCUUUAUCUUCACCUCCCAAUCUUUCUUGUACUGCUAUGGUAUCAAUCAGAUUAUUUCUUUACUUCCUGAACUGUUGGAUUUUAUGUAAUCCUGGAGAAACCCCCUAAUUCAUUUCUUCUUGCCAAUCUAUCUUCUAGUAUCUAAACUGUAAUUAGUGUUAUCUUCCAUCCCAUGCUGUUUUUUUAUUAUAAGUAUAUAUUCUUUUUAUCCCUUUUCAAUCAAUUUGAUGUGGUUUUAAAAGGUCAUGGGGGUAAAUCUAAGUGCUCACCAUGUUUACCUAGAAGACACUUAUUUAUCUUUGCACUGCAAGAUCCAGUUGCAAUGCCUAGUGCAAAUGUGGCUUAAUAAAUAUCUUUAGUUAAUUUGAUUUCAUGUGCUUGAAUGGAUUAAGAUAAAAAUAUUCACGACUAGGACAACAUGACUAUAAUAAUUGAAAAACCUAGUCUGAGAAUUACUGUAAUUUUCUUGUCUAAUGAUGGCUCUCACAUUAUUUGGUAGACAAAAGCAAUAAAGCAAUUUCAUUAAUAAACAUUUCAUAAAUUGAAAAAAGUAUGUUAAAUUAUGACUUUUACUGAAAUUCCACAAUUAGUUUUUAACCAUGAAUGUAAAUGUAUUCGUGCAUGAUAAAUAAAUAUCAUUAGUUUGCUUCCACUAAUAUUUAGUUAGCAAUUGUUUUUUACUUUAGAUCACUUUUUUCUAUUUUUUCUAGCUUUAAGUUUGUUAAAUGUUUGGUUUUUAUUUCUAUUUCUGAGUUAUAACACAAUUAAGCCAACAUUUCAUAAUCCAUUAAUGAAAGGAUGAAAUAAUGAUAAAAUAGACACAUAAUUCAAGAUGGUGUUAUUAAAUUAAGGAGUAAAUGAAGCUUUACUAUAGAACAUUUUAUCUUGAGUGCUGAGAGAAGUGAAUCUGUCACUGUGAUGGCUUUGAACAAAUAACUAAAAUAAACAAAAAAAGUGAGUAUCGAAAGUAUGAAGAUGACUAUCUGAAAUAUGAAAUUUAUUGAGCUUACACUAUCUUAUUACCCAGUAGGUUGUCUUUUAUGAAUCUUCAAAUAGCAUCAUGAAGCAUCAAAGUUGAGAUUCUUUUUAAUAUAAUGCAAAGAGAAUACUCGAGGAAACAAAUAGUGUAUUUUCCAGAAGAAAAACAAAAUAAUGCUCACCCAUACAAAAAUGAUUAAUUUUGUUGCUAAAGGCAAGCGAAUGCCCUGGAACAGAAACAUCAUUCAAAGUUGUCCCACUUGUAGCAAAAACACGUCUGAAUCGAACUGCUUCUGAGGAGUUAGUAAAAUCAGAUACAAUAUUAAUGAAAAUGUUAUUCUCACAGAGAAAGCAGACUAGCUGUUGGCAAAAUUUCUCCAUCAAAUGACAAUUAGGCUUAAUGUAAUAUUAAUGCAUCUAAUAUGGAAAAGCAACUAUUAUUAUAUAUGUAUGCUAGAAGAUUAUUUAAUUUGCACUCGGACAAAAACACCAAUUUAGAGAAUAUAAAUUAACCCUUGGCAUAUCUGUAGUUCAUAUAAGGAGUAAAUGUGCUUAUGUUUUUCUUUUAUUCUUUUGUCUAUAUUCAGUGAUAGUCAGAAAAAUAUUUUUUCACUUAAUAGUUAUUUUGUGAAUCAUGAUACAAUCUUCAUGCAUACAAUACACAAGUGUCUUAAAUGCUAAUAUAUGUUUUCUUCAGUCACAGAAAAUAUGUGCUGGCACAAUGUUCCAUUUUUAUUUAUUCAAUUUGGAAAAAAAUAAUAGUGAAAACAAAUAUCACCACUUCACAAUCACUGUGUUUUUUCAGUUUUUUUAAAAAGAAAUUAAAAUUGAUUAAAGUAUCUUGAUUUGACAUAAUGAAGUAUGUUAAUUGUUACAUAUUAUUGGACUCCUAUGAGUUUCUGAAAACAGAAAUUCAAAGUACACAUUUAUGACACAGGUAAUGACAAAACCUUUUUCAUGAUAAGUGAUUUUGUUUUUGUUUACAUUGUAUGUCUAAAUGACAGUCUUAGAAUUGUGAAUAACCUGAAUAUCUCAUUUCAUGGUCAAAAUAUCCUGAUUAUUUUAUUAAAGAUAAUAUAUGAAGAUAAUAGCAAACAGCUUCACUGAUGAAAGUUUGAAUAUUACCUAACAUCUGAUGCUUAUUUGGGUUUUUUUUUUAUAUAAAGGAAAUAAUAGUAUGUUAUUGGGUAUAUUUUGAAAGCAUAUUCAAAUAUUACAACAGAAUAUAAAGAAUGUUUUCCAGGACUGAGUAUAUCCAGAGAGUAAUGAGGAAUACAUAAAUGCCAAUCUCCAAUGAAGAACCUUUCCACUUUGUAGUAAUGGAAUAUAACAUGCUCACUGGCUUAGGAUCUGUGGGAACACAGAAUUCAGUCUUUAACAGGAAUCCCCACAAUGUUUUAGAGUCAAAACUACAAUAAAUACCUGCCAAUUGCUGCUUUGCCGGAUGACCUCUAAAUGUUUUGGCACUUUAUAUUUCCAUUAAAAAUUUUAAAAUAAAAGUGACAGUUUAAUGAAAAAUCUAGUCUUUUAUUUAACAAAUAAUAUGUUAAGGAUCAGGUUACAGAGAAUGCUAUAGAUACUGGCAGUACAACAGUGGAGAAAAAGGAAAGGCAGACAGAAAGACAGAGAGAUAAGAAAGGAGAGGAAGGAAGAGAGGGAGAGAGAGGGAGAGAGGAGAAAGAGGAAGGUAAAAGGGAGAAGCAGGAAAAAAAGUGAAAGAAUACAUGGUGGGGGGAGAAUAAAAAGAAAAACAAAUGAAAUAAAACAAAACCUUAACCACAACCAGCUUGCCUCCUAAAGAAAAUCUAGGAUAUUACAUAAAGCAAUAACGUUUGCCUCGUUGUGAAUGAGAAUUUAAGCUAAAAUUUGAAAUAAACGUGGGAGUGAGUCAUGUGGAUACCAGGGGCUCUAUGUAAGUGCUAUAGUCAAAACAUAUUGUUUGGUAAUUGAUGAAAUAUUGGCUAUUGACAACUUCUCAAGGAACAAGCCUAACUCCUCCAUUGGAUGACAUCCCUCCUAAUUUACUGUAGAGACUAAGAGAAAAGAUUGUUCCAGUAUAGUACCUGGUUUCAAAUCCUGUGUUUACGUCAACAAUUGAUGUAUAAUUUGUGGCAUAUUAUCAUAACUAUCUGAAUCAGAGUUUCCUCAACAUGAUUGGGAUAAAAAUAGUUUUAAACUAACAGGUUCUGUGUGACACAAAUAAGAUAAUACAUAAAAAGCAUAAAGCAUAGUGUAUCACA